rnacentral:snRNA from 1 species
AUGCUCGCUUAGAGAGCACAUACACCAAAAUUCGAAUGAUACAAAGAAAAUGAGCAUGGCCCCUGUGCAAGAAUGACACCAAUUUGGUGAAGCGAUCCAAACUUUU